AAGCCGGGGCCGCGCAAUCGACGAUUUCGAAUNGUGUCAGAUCCUAGCGGAAGCAGCACUAAGAUUUCCUAGAUGUGCCGCGUCACCCCGGUCAUCC
rnacentral:SRP_RNA from 1 species